rnacentral:rRNA from 1 species
CAGUCGAGGGGCAGCGGGGAGGUAGCAAUACUUCCGCCGGCGACCGGCGCACGGGUGAGUAACACGUAUGGAACCUGCCCGUAGCAGGGGGAUAAGCGGAAGAAAUUCCGUCUAAUACCGCGUAACAACCCAUGGAGGCAUCUCCGUGGGUUUAAAGGAAGCGAUUCCGGCUACGGAUGGUCAUGCGUCGCAUUAGCUUGUUGGCGGGGUAACGGCCCACCAAGGCGACGAUGCGUAGGGGUUCUGAGAGGAAGGCCCCCCACACUGGUACUGAGACACGGACCAGACUCCUACGGGAGGCAGCAGUGAGGAAUAUUGGUCAAUGGCCGCAGGGCUGAACCAGCCAAGUCGCGUGAGGGAUGACGGUCCUAUGGAUUGUAAACCUCUUUUGUCAGGGAGCAAAGGGCGCCACGUGUGGCGUUUUGCGAGUACCUGAAGAAAAAGCAUCGGCUAACUCCGUGCCAGCAGCCGCGGUAAUACGGAGGAUGCGAGCGUUAUCCGGAUUUAUUGGGUUUAAAGGGUGCGCAGGCGGAAUGUCAAGUCAGCGGUAAAAUUUCGGGGCUCAACCCCGUCGUGCCGUUGAAACUGGCGUUCUUGAGUGAGCGAGAAGUAUGCGGAAUGCGUGGUGUAGCGGUGAAAUGCAUAGAUAUCACGCAGAACUCCGAUUGCGAAGGCAGCAUACCGGCGCUCAACUGACGCUCAUGCACGAAAGCGUGGGUAUCGAACAGGAUUAGAUACCCUGGUAGUCCACGCAGUAAACGAUGAAUACUAACUGUCCGGGCAGAAUGAUGCCUGGGUGGUACAGCGAAAGCGUUA